rnacentral:misc_RNA from 1 species
CGCGUGAUACGCGGCGAGUGGUCCGAUUCUGACAUUCGCCUCCCGUUUCGGGCAGGUCACCUCGCGAAUGUCAGAAUCGAAGGACCACUCGUAACUAUUAGCUUCUAGUGGAGUUCAGGAUUUGACAUUCGCGAUGCAAACUUGCGGCCGGGUGGGUCGCGAAUGUCAAAUCCACUCCACUAAAAACGCAUCCGUGAACAGCCUCACCGCGAAGUGAGUAGCGAGCUACCAGGGGGCGGCCUAUCAAGGGGCCGCCUUCUUGGUGAGGAGGCAUCAUGCAUCGUGGGGGCAGACGGGAUGUCUGAUUUGCCAGUUUCGAAACCGACAGCAGCCGGUGCAAUCGCUUCGCGG